GGUUGACCUCGGAUCAGUA
rnacentral:rRNA from 1 species